AUUGAACGCUGGCGGAAUGCUUUACACAUGCAAGUCGAACGGCAGCACGGACUUCGGUCUGGUGGCGAGUGGCGAACGGGUGAGUAAUGUAUCGGAACGUGCCCAAUCGUGGGGGAUAACGUAGCGAAAGCUACGCUAAUACCGCAUACGAUCUAAGGAUGAAAGCGGGGGAUCGCAAGACCUCGCGCGAUUGGAGCGGCCGAUGGCAGAUUAGGUAGUUGGUAGGGUAAAGGCCUACCAAGCCGACGAUCUGUAGCUGGUCUGAGAGGAUGAUCCGCCACACUGGGACUGAGACACGGCCCAGACUCCUACGGGAGGCAGCAGUGGGGAAUUUUGGACAAUGGACGCAAGUCUGAUCCAGCCAUUCCGCGUGCAGGAUGAAGGCCCUCGGGUUGUAAACUGCUUUUGUACAGAACGAAAAGGCUCUGGUUAAUACCUAGGGCUCAUGACGGUACUGUAAGAAUAAGCACCGGCUAACUACGUGCCAGCCGCCGCGGUAA
rnacentral:rRNA from 1 species